rnacentral:rRNA from 1 species
AUUGAACGCUGGCGGCAGGCCUAACACAUGCAAGUCGGACGGUAGCACAGAGGAGCUUGCUCCUUGGGUGACGAGUGGCGGACGGGUGAGUAAUGUCCGGGGAUCUGCCCGAUAGAGGGGGAUAACCACUGGAAACGGUGGCUAAUACCGCAUAACGUCGCAAGACCAAAGAGGGGGACCUUCGGGCCCCUCACUAUCGGAUGAACCCAGAUGGGAUUAGCUAGUAGGCGGGGUAAUGGCCCACCUAGGCGACGAUCCCUAGCUGGUCUGAGAGGAUGACCAGCCACACUGGAACUGAGACACGGUCCAGACUCCUACGGGAGGCAGCAGUGGGGAAUAUUGCACAAUGGGCGCAAGCCUGAUGCAGCCAUGCCGCGUGUAUGAAGAAGGCCUUCGGGUUGUAAAGUACUUUCAGCGGGGAGGAAGGCGGUGAGGUUAAUAACCUCGCCGAUUGACGUUACCCGCAGAAGAAGCACCGGCUAACUCCGUGCCAGCCGCCGCGGUAA